GCCUACAGCCUGACAAUCUCUGCAUUUGUUCUGGGAGUCGACAUGACUCAUAGGGGGAUGUGGUAAAGGUUGCAAAUGACCCUGUGGUGAAACACUGGAGAGCAUUGUGCCAAGCUGGGAAAUGCAGCUGAUCCGAGGGAGAUUCCUUCUGCCGCUGUUCUCCAGACCUCUGUCUCCAGGGUGUUUGAGAGCAGAGAUGCCGGGUGUCCCUUGUGUGGCACUACAGCUGGUUCUUGUGAGGAUCUAUUGAGGUUGGCAGGAGAAGGCAUCCUUAGCUUUCCAAUGUACCCUACUGCGCCAGCCAUGAUUCACCUCUAGGUAAUUCCUUAGAUUGCCCGUGGAGAAGCGCAGGCCCGAUCCAAUUCCUACUGAUGUCAGUGGGAGUUCUCCCACCGCGUCCCAUGGCUGCUUGAUCAAGUCCUAAACAGAGGGAAAUAUAACAACAUUUGGACCUUACAGAAAAAUUGUAGUGAUAAUCCAAGACACUGCAGUCACAGUGCCAAAAUCUGCAGUGUUAUGGAUCAUUCCUGUAAAAUACUGCAGGCCUUUUCUAUU